GACGUAGGGGGCAAGCGUUGUCCGGAAUCAUUGGGCGUAAAGCGCUCGUAGGUGGAUCGGUAAGUCUGCAAAGAAAGACCCGGGCUCAACUCGGGGAACGGUGUGGAUACUACCGAUCUUGAGGCAAUCAGAGGAUGAUGGAAUUCCCGGUGUAGCGGUGAGAUGCGCAGAUAUCGGGAAGAACACCUAUGGCGAAGGCAGCUCUCUGGGACGGUACUGACGCUGAGACGCGAAAGCGUGGGGAGCGAACAGG
rnacentral:rRNA from 1 species